GAGAGAGCAACUGCUCUAUAUAUACGUUCUGUGGGGGAGCAUCUACCGUACUCUCUGCUGUUCAGCCAUUAAAAUAGUGAGAGAGAGAGAGUGAUAAGUAGAGAGAGUUAGUGGAAGCGGGAGAACGAUUCUUCCAUAUAUAAGAAGCUGUGGCUGAGGGGGCGCGCAUUAGAAGUGGGGAUUGCAUUGCACUGUUCUGUCUUUUGCUAGCGUAGUUCCGCUUAUUCAAUAUCAAUUUAGGACACGAUCAAUGCAAUUUUGGCAAUGUCUUCUGGAAAUAUGGAUAGCUUAGCUCUUGAACGAAAUGUAGAGAAACAAUUCAAUUGCAUUUCUCGAAUCCCAAUGAUCUUCGCCUGAUAGAUACUUAGAUCUGUUUGGAUAUAAAACGCAACACAUUUAAAGAGAUAAGUUAAAUCAACACAAUUUCUUGCCAAGCAAAUGACGUCAUAAAUGCUCUAAUCUCAAGCUAGCGCCACUUUUAUGUGAAUGAACUCAUUGGGCAUUUUGCUCACGUGACCAGUUUUAUUUGGUCAUUGAAGAUUUGACAAUCUCACGACUUAAUUGCCGGCAAGAGCAACAGCAACAGCAACAUCGACAUCAACGGCAGCUUAAAUCAUUUGACACUUUGACAUUUUUUGUUUUCUUUCGCUUGAACCGGUUACAGUUACGGUUAUUGUAAGUGUUAUGCACGCCCAUCAAAUUUAAUGCCAAUGCGGCAGUGCUUACAUAAAAAAUGAGUUCAUACUGUCAGACAUAUUCAACCAGGGCGAGUGUUGUAAUUUAUUAAAAUGAUUUCGGUUUAAUGUACACACCCACCAGCAGCCCAUCAUGUACUCCAAGCCCCCAACCCCACUCCCCCUCUCAAAAGUAACAAAAAAAAAAGGAAGGAAAAUCAAAAAAACGAAAAUAAAACAAACAUAAAUCAGAUAGCUGGCCAUCAACUCUUAAAGACCAAAUGCCAGACAGAGUCUUUUCUAAUUUAGACUGACAAAUGAAUUUUUAUAUGAGUCAAAGUGUUUUGAUUUGAGCUUCGUUGAUGUAGGCGAUGGUUCAUUUGCCAGCGAAACGUGCCACAAGACCAGACCAAAGGCCGCCCAGUAUAAUGAGGUGCAAAGUGUGCGGCAACUCUUCUUCUUCUUAUUCUUCUCGGACCUCCACCCAACGCAACACAAAAAAUUGAAGCGUUAAUUAAAUUUCUUGACACGUCCAGAAGACAGGCAAAUGGUUUUCUAUCUAAGAGCCUGGCGAGUUGUUUCAACUUAGUUUUUUGUUUAAUUUAUUUAAUGAAUGGGGAAAGGCAAAGUUGAUUACUUUUUAAGUGCAGCAAAACUUGAUUUAUGUCGGCAUAUUUUGUGUCAGGAUGGGGGGAAAAAAAGAGUGGGGUUUGGGGAUGGAAAGGAUGGACUGAUCCAACAAAUGUCAAAUGUGAAAUAUCAACUGUAGAGUGGACAUGAUAAUGUUUCAUCGUUCGUUUCCUUUACAUGUAACAUCUGAGCUUUAAAUUGUCCAAUCAGUGGCAGAGUCACUGGGCUGGGUUUGUGGUAGGUAAGCGCAUUAAAUGCUUGAAUUGUAA